rnacentral:rRNA from 1 species
GAACCAACAGGGAUUGCCUCAGUAACGGCGAGUGAAGCGGCAACAGCUCAAAUUUGAAAUCUGGCCCCCUCGGGGUCCGAGUUGUAAUUUGUAGAAGAUGCUUCGGGUGCGGCCCCGGUCUAAGUUCCUUGGAACAGGACGUCACAGAGGGUGAGAAUCCCGUACGUGCCCGGUGGUCGCCCCCAUGUGAAGCUCUUUCGACGAGUCGAGUUGUUUGGGAAUGCAGCUCAAAAUGGGUGGUAAAUUUCAUCUAAAGCUAAAUAUUGGCCAGAGACCGAUAGCGCACAAGUAGAGUGAUCGAAAGAUGAAAAGCACUUUGGAAAGAGAGUUAAACAGUACGUGAAAUUGUUGAAAGGGAAGCGCUUGCAACCAGACUUGCGCGUGGCCGAUCAUCCGGUGUUCGCACCGGUGCACUCGACCGCGCGCAGGCCAGCAUCGGUUUGGGUGGCUGGAUAAAGGCCUCGGGAAUGUGGCUCCCCUCGGGGAGUGUUAUAGCCCGAGGUGCAAUGCAGCCUACCCGGACCGAGGACCGCGCUUCGGCUAGGAUGCUGGCGUAAUGGUUGUAAGCGACCCGUC